AUCCAGAGGGUGCGAGCGUUAAUCGGAUUUACUGGGCGUAAAGCGCGCGUAGGCGGCUUAUUAAGUCAGAUGUGAAAUCCCCGGGCUCAACCUGGGAACUGCAUCUGAUACUGGUAAGCUAGAGUUUUGGAGAGGGAAGUAGAAUUUCAGGUGUAGCGGUGAAAUGCAUAGAGAUCUGAAGGAAUACCAGUGGCGAAGGCGACUUCCUGGCCAAAAACUGACGCUGAGGUGCGAAAGCGUGGGUAGCAAACGGGAUUAGAAAACCUAGUAGUCC
rnacentral:rRNA from 1 species